CCAAAGACAAUUAAGGAGUCAUUCACAGUGGCAUUAAGAAUCCAAUAGUGACAGCAGCAAAUUUCCAGUUUGGUAAUCCAAAAGACUGUUCUUUCUGUUGUGUCAUCCAGCCUGGACUCCUGCAACCUAGCCUCCUUUGGUUUCUUCCCAUUUGCUGAGCUUGGUCCUCAGACUUCUCCUGUUGAUUCAUGAGUUAUCGAAUAUCCUUCCACCUGGAAAUCUCUUGAAGAGGAAGGAAAAAAUCCUUGAGAAAACGUGGCUGUCAGAGCUGCAAAAUCUUCUUUCAUCUUCUCAUGAAUAGAAGCAGUCACCAACCAGCCUGAGAAAACUCAUCCAGCUAGAAAAAGGAGGUAUCCUACUGGACAAAGAAGAGAAUUUGCUAGAUGUGGAAGCAGUUCAGACGAGGAAGGUCACCCCGGUCUUCCGCAGGCAGAUAUUUCCUGGUAUCCGUAUCCUUCUACCACAUGAAGAGCUCACAGGCUACACGGGACGGACAGAUGUAAAUAAAUAUAGAAAUGUGUUAAGAGCUACAGUGGAGGAGCAUGCAAUGGAUGAUUUCAAUGCUUGUCAAAGUAUCUUAAUGUCCCACUUUUAAAAAAUCCAAUAAUACUUUGGGCAUCAUCUGGGGCUUAGAAAAAGAACGUAAAAAGAAGGUAAAUUUGCUCUUUAUUAAAAUAUUCAGCUCGACAUACACUGUGACCAGGGAAAACAGUGCAGACUUUUUGCAUAUAGAACACCUCUAGUGUUCUUAUAAAGGGCUUCUGUGUGUGUGUCUGUGUGUGUUUCUAUAGUUACCCAUCCCAAAACUACAGGAACAAUUAGGAGGCAUAUUGGUACCUCACACCAUGAUGGAGAUGUUAAAGAAGAAUAUGGAUGACGUGGC
rnacentral:lncRNA from 1 species